ACUUGAUAUUUGGCGCUGAAGAGGGCAUUUAUACCCUUAAUCUCAAUGAACUUCAUGAAACAUCAAUGGAACAGCUGUUCCCCCGCAGGUGUACGUGGUUGUAUGUAAUGAACAACUGCUUACUGUCCGUAUCCGGCAAAGCCUCUCAGCUUUAUUCCCACAAUUUACCAGGGCUUUUCGAUUAUGCAAGACAGAUGCAGAAGUUACCUGUAGCCAUCCCAGCACACAAGCUCCCGGAUCGAAUACUGCCCAGGAAAUUUGCUGUAUCAGCAAAGAUUCCUGAAACCAAGUGGUGUCAGAAGUGCUGCGUGGUGAGAAAUCCUUACACGGGCCAUAAGUACCUGUGCGGAGCACUUCAGACUAGCAUUGUUCUAUUAGAAUGGGUUGAGCCAAUGCAGAAGUUUAUGUUAAUUAAGGUAAGCAUUCAUGACUUCUACAGUGCACACCCUGUGUUAGCCUUGCUUGUCUUUUAGAGAA
rnacentral:lncRNA from 1 species